GAUGAACGCUGGCGGCGUGCCUAAUACAUGCAAGUCGAGCGAACAGACGAGGAGCUUUCCCCUCUGACGUUAGCGGCGGACGGGUGAGUAACACGUGGAUAACCUACCUAUAAGACUGGGAUAACUUCGGGAAACCGGAGCUAAUACCGGAUAAUAUAUUGAACCGCAUGGCUCAAUAGUGAAAGACGGCUUUGCUGUCACUUAUAGAUGGAUCCGCGCCGCAUUAGCUAGUUGGUAAGGUAACGGCUUACCAAGGCAACGAUGCGUAGCCGACCUGAGAGGGUUGUCGGCCACACUGGAACUGAGACACGGUCCAGACGCCUACGGGAGGCAGCAGUAGGGAAUCUUCCGCGAUGGGCGAAAGCCUGACGGAGCAACGCCGCGUGAGUGAUGAAGGUCUUCGGAUCGUAAAGCUCUGUUAUUGGGGAAGAACAGAUGUGUAAGUAAAUAUGCACGUCUUGACGGUACCUAAUCAGAAAGCCACGGCUAACUACGUG
rnacentral:rRNA from 1 species